GAAAAUAUGAUAGUUACGUCAUGGCGCCCACCAGGAAGUUUAUGGCGCCCGCCAUGUCUUCGGAUUUGGUUUAGGUCGCCUAUGUUGUUUGCUUCUUGGGCCUCAAUCCUCUCGUCUUCAUUUUUAUAAUGGGAGGUCUAUAUAGGUAUCCAUGAAUGCUGUUUUUUUUUUAUUUUUUUAUUUUAAGCUUGAUAAAAAAAAUAAAAAAUAAAUGAAAUAAAAAAAAUUAAAAUAGAGUAAAACAAAAUUAAAUAAAACAAAACAAAAUAAGAUAAAACAAAAUAAAAUGGUAAAGUAAA
rnacentral:lncRNA from 1 species